rnacentral:lncRNA from 1 species
GAUAGGAGUGGAGCUAUGUAGAAUAGAUAUUAAUUCGUUUUUGAAAGAUAUUGGUAAAAUAUAUUAAUAGUUCAUAUAAUAGGAAAUUCAAGAGGACAGAUGAAUGAUUUAGUUAUUAAAAGCGAUUAAUUACAAAAUUACGAUUAGAAUCUGGAAAAUCAAGGGAAAGUAUAUAGGAGUUAUAGAAGUUAAUUAAGAUGCCAGACUGUGAGAGUUGUGAGCCGAAGGCCAUUGUUGUGAUAGUGUGAGCCGGGGUAAGCUUGGUGCUACCUCUUUUCUUUUGUUUGUUAUUUUCUUUGAAUAAGAGGAUUGAAAGUUUCUGAAUAUUAUGAAGUGAAUUAUAGAAUGGAAAUAUGAUUAGUAUUAUUUGAGAAGAAGAAAGAUUGAAUGUUAAAAUCUGAUUGUAGUUCAGCAGAGAGAAUGAGUCUGUGUUUGUGUGAAAUACUGUAAUGUGAAUGGAAGUUCUAUGUUAAGAAUUCCAAUGAUUGGAACGAGGGUAAUUGUGUGCUGAAAGCUGUGAGGGCAGAGUAU